rnacentral:lncRNA from 10 species
CCUCACUUGGCAAAACUAUAUAUAUUUUAUAUUAUGUUACAUAUCAUUAAAAAUAAGAAAACACUGUAGUUCAAAAUUAGCUUUUAAAAUUUACAUACAGCGAUAUGACCUCAAUACUAGCGAUAUUUCAUUAUCUAAAAGAAAAAUUUCACCAUAUUUCUUCCAAUGUCUCUUCAUCAGCCCAUUUAUAAUAAUCACUUGUUAUUCAGAUUCAAGAAAAUACUGUAAUUACCUCAUUUAAACAGCUAUAUUGAUAAACAUUUAUGUAUUAAGCAGAAUCUAUCUGUAGUAAGCGAAGUUUUUAAGUGAUAAACAAUAUUUUAUUAUUAAAUGAAAGAAUGGGGAAUAAAUGAUUGGAAGACAGAAAAACAUAUAUGGACUAGAAGAUACAUGUGGAUGAAAUAAAGCAGGAUAUUUUAUGUCUGUGUGACUUUACAUUAAUAUUUAUCUAUUGCGCCUUUGAAGCAGAUAUUUUUCAUGGUUUGAGAGGUGAGGCACCAUUCAAAUUAUGUAAAUUUGCGCUGUCAAAUAAGCCUGGGUUAAAUAUAUAUUUUUGGAUGCAUUGAAGAGGUAGAUUCCUAAAGCAUGUAAACUGCUUAUUCUGCAGUAUGAAAAUAAGCUAUAGUCAACUCUUUCAAUUACUUAGUUCUCAGUCCAGGAAUAAUAAUGUUGUCAGGUUUUCUUUUUAUCAUUAUCUUACAAAAUUAUAAUUAUUUCUUUGUUCAGGGUCAUACUAGAUUAUUCUCUAUUCAUUUAUUAACAAACACGUAGCACUUACCAUGUGCUAGGCACUGUCCUCUCCAAGGAGAGUAUAGACCAGGCAUGUUUGCUUCAGUGCUAUAUCCCUAGCACAGUGCCUGGCACUGACUUCAUAAUUUAUGUAGCAAGUAUUCAUUAUGCAAUUGGAUAGUUUAUAUUUGGCUUACCUUUCAGGAAGUAGUAUGACAUAAAGGUUAAGUAUAAAGGUGAUGAAAUGACCUGCGUGGCUUUGAAUUCCAACUCUGCCAUCUACUAAUUAAAUGACUCUGGCCAAGAUAUUUAAUCUUUUUCAGCUUCAGUUUCUUGAUUUGUCAAGUGGAGGAAAUAAUAGCAUUGACCUGAAGGGGAUGGCCCGGCCGGACACUUCUUUCU